AUAUUAAUAAGCGGAGGAAAAGAAACUAACCAGGAUUCCCCUAGUAACGGCGAGUGAAGCGGCAACAGCUCAAAUUUGAAAUCUGGCUCUUUCAGGGUCCGAGUUGUAAUUUGCAGAGGGCGCUUUGGCAUUGGCAGCGGUCCAAGUUCUUUGGAACAGGACGUCACAGAGGGUGAGAAUCCCGUAUGUGACUGGGUACCUACGCUCAUGUGAAGCUCUUUCGACGAGUCGAGUUGUUUGGGAAUGCAGCUCAAAAUGGGUGGUAAAUUUCAUCUAAAGCUAAAUAUUGGCCAGAGACCGAUAGCGCACAAGUAGAGUGAUCGAAAGAUGAAAAGCACUUUGGAAAGAGAGUUAAACAGUACGUGAAAUUGUUGAAAGGGAAGCGCUUGCAAUCAGACUUGCGCCUAGUUGAUCAUCCGGGCUUCUGCCCGGUGCACUCGAUUAGGCUCAGGCCAGCAUCGGUUUGGGUGGUUGGAUAAAGGCUUGGGGAACGUAGCCUCCUUCGGGGGGUGUUAUAGCCCCAGGUGCAAUGCAGCCCACCUGGACCGAGGACCGCGCUUCGGCUAGGAUGCUGGCGUAAUGGUUGUAAGCGA
rnacentral:rRNA from 1 species